rnacentral:rRNA from 1 species
UACGGAGGGUGCAAGCGUUAAUCGGAAUUACUGGGCGUAAAGCGUGCGUAGGUGGUUCAUUAAGUCAGAUGUGAAAUCCCGGGGCUCAACCUCGGAACUGCAUUUGAAACUGGUGUACUAGAGUAUUGUAGAGGGUAGUGGAAUUUCCAGUGUAGCGGUGAAAUGCGUAGAGAUUGGAAGGAACAUCAGUGGCGAAGGCGGCUACCUGGACAAAUACUGACACUGAGGCACGAAAGCGUGGGGAGCGAACAGG